AAUGCCCUACGGGGGGCAGCAGUAGGGAAUCUUCCACAAUGGACGAAAGUCUGAUGGAGCAACGCCGCGUGAGUGAAGAAGGGUUUCGGCUCGUAAAGCUCUGUUGGUAGUGAAGAAAGAUAGGGGUAGUAACUGGCCUUUAUUUGACGGUAAUUACUUAGAAAGUCACGGCUGACUACGUGCCAGCAGCCGCGGUAAUACGUAGGUGGCAAGCGUUGUCCGGAUUUAUUGGGCGUAAAGCGAGUGCAGGCGGUCCAAAAAGGUUGAUGUGAAAGACUUCGGCUCAAACGGAGAA
rnacentral:rRNA from 1 species